CCUACGGGAGGCAGCAGUAGGGAAUAUUGCACAAUGGGGGAAACCCUGAUGCAGUAACGCCGCGUGGGUGAAGAAGUAAUUCGUUACGUAAAGCUCUAUCAGCAGAGAAGAAACACUGACCUUACGGUCAGCAGACGGUACCUGAGUAAGAAGCACCGGCUAACUACGUGCCAGCAGCCGCGGUAAUACGUAGGGGGCAAGCGUUAUCCGGAUUUACUGGGGGUAAAGGGAGCGUAGACGGUGCGCCAAGUCUGGAGUGAAAUGCCGCAGCUUAACUGCGGAACUGCUUUGGAAGCUGGGGAACUAGAGUGUGGGAGGGGUAAGUGGAAUUCUUAGUGUAGAGGUGA
rnacentral:rRNA from 1 species